rnacentral:tRNA from 1 species
GAUUAGGUGGCUGAGAUGUGUAGGCGAUAGAUUGUAAAUCUAUAGAGGGAUCAUGUCCUCUAAUUA